UACAGAGGGGGCAAGCGUUGUUCGGAAUUACUGGGCGUAAAGGGCGCGUAGGCGGCCUGCUAAGUCGAACGUGAAAUCCCUGGGCUCAACCCAGGAACUGCGUCCGAUACUGGUUGGCUUGAAUCCGGGAGAGGGAUGUGGAAUUCCAGGUGUAGCGGUGAAAUGCGUAGAUAUCUGGAGGAACACCGGUGGCGAAGGCGGGUCUCUGGGCCGAUACUGACGCUGAGGAGCGAAGGCGUGGGGAGCGAACAGG
rnacentral:rRNA from 1 species